GUAGCACUGCGUCGGCAACACUUGAAAAGAAUAUAGAAAAAAGUGAAAGGGGUACAGUGAACUUGCCGUGAGGGGUGGAAUAUCCAACGUUUCGGAUUCAAUCCUUCAUCAAUGGCUGUGUGGUAAGUAGCUUGUUUACCAAUCACAU